AGUGAACGCUGGCGGUAGGCCUAACACAUGCAAGUCGAACGGCAGCACAGUAAGAGCUUGCUCUUACGGGUGGCGAGUGGCGGACGGGUCAGGAAUACAUCGGAAUCUACUUUUUCGUGGGGGAUAACGUAGGGAAACUUAUGCUAAUACCGCAUACGACCUACGGGUGUAAGCAUGGGAUCUUCGGACCUUGCGCGAUUGAAUGAGCCGAUGUCGGAUUAGCUAGUUGGCGGGGUAAAGGCCCACCAAGGCGACGAUCCGUAGCUGGUCUGAGAGGAUGAUCAGCCACACUGGAACUGAGACACGGUCCAGACGCCUAAGGGAGGCAGCAGUGGGGAAUAUUGGACAAUGGGCGCAAGCAUGAUCCAGCCAUACCGCGUGGGUGAAGAAGGCCUUCGGGUUGUAAAGCCCUUUUGUUGGGAAAGAAAAGCAGCAGGUUAAUACCCCGCUGUUCUGACGGUAACCAAAGAAUAAGCACCGGCUAACUUCGUG
rnacentral:rRNA from 1 species